GAAUGCUGACAUAAGUAACGAUAAAGCGGGUGAAAAGCCCGCUCGCCGGAAGACCAAGGGUUCCUGUCCAACGUUAAUCGGGGCAGGGUGAGUCGACCCCUAAGGCGAGGCCGAAAGGCGUAGUCGAUGGGAAACGGGUUAAUAUUCCCGUACUUGGUGUUACUGCGAAGGGGGGACGGAGAAGGCUAUGUUGGCCGGGCGACGGUUGUCCCGGUUUAAGCGUGUAGGUGUGUGUUCCAGGUAAAUCCGGUUCACUUUAACACUGAGGCGUGAUGACGAGGCACUACGGUGCUGAAGUAACAAAUGCCCUGCUUCCAGGAAAAGCCUCUAAGCAUCAGGUAACAUCAAAUCGUACCCCAAACCGACACAGGUGGUCAGGUAGAGAAUACCAAGGCGCUUGAGAGAACUCGGGUGAAGGAACUAGGCAAAAUGGUGCCGUAACUUCGGGAGAAGGCACGCUGACACGUAGGUGAAGUGAUUUACUCAUGGAGCUGAAGUCAGUCGAAGAUACCAGCUGGCUGCAACUGUUUAUUAAAAACACAGCACUGUGCAAACACGAAAGUGGACGUAUACGGUGUGACGCCUGCCCGGUGCCGGAAGGUUAAUUGAUGGGGUCAGCGCAAGCGAAGCUCCUGAUCGAAGCCCCGGUAAACGGCGGCCGUAACUAUAACGGUCCUAAGGUAGCGAAAUUCCUUGUCGGGUAAGUUCCGACCUGCACGAAUGGCGUAAUGAUGGCCAGGCUGUCUCCACCCGAGACUCAGUGAAAUUGAACUCGCUGUGAAGAUGCAGUGUACCCGCGGCAAGACGGAAAGACCCCGUGAACCUUUACUAUAGCUUGACACUGAACAUUGAGCCUUGAUGUGUAGGAUAGGUGGGAGGCUUUGAAGUGUGGACGCCAGUCUGCGUGGAGCCGACCUUGAAAUACCACCCUUUAAUGUUUGAUGUUCUAACGUGGACCCGUGAUCCGGGUUGCGGACAGUGUCUGGUGGGUAGUUUGACUGGGGCGGUCUCCUCCUAAAGAGUAACGGAGGAGCACGAAGGUUGGCUAAUCCUGGUCGGACAUCAGGAGGUUAGUGCAAUGGCAUAAGCCAGCUUGACUGCGAGCGUGACGGCGCGAGCAGGUGCGAAAGCAGGUCAUAGUGAUCCGGUGGUUCUGAAUGGAAGGGCCAUCGCUCAACGGAUAAAAGGUACUCCGGGGAUAACAGGCUGAUACCGCCCAAGAGUUCAUAUCGACGGCGGUGUUUGGCACCUCGAUGUCGGCUCAUCACAUCCUGGGGCUGAAGUAGGUCCCAAGGGUAUGGCUGUUCGCCAUUUAAAGUGGUACGCGAGCUGGGUUUAGAACGUCGUGAGACAGUUCGGUCCCUAUCUGCCGUGGGCGCUGGAGAACUGAGGGGGGCUGCUCCUAGUACGAGAGGACCGGAGUGGACGCAUCACUGGUGUUCGGGUUGUCAUGCCAAUGGCACUGCCCGGUAGCUAAAUGCGGAAGAGAUAAGUGCUGAAAGCAUCUAAGCACGAAACUUGCCCCGA
rnacentral:rRNA from 1 species